GUCACUUUGCCGGAGUGGUUAACGGGAUCGCCUGCUAUUUAGCAUUCUAGCGGUUGGGCUUUGCCCGCGUGUGUUCGAAUCGCACAGGUGACG
rnacentral:tRNA from 1 species